rnacentral:lncRNA from 1 species
CAUGUUUUCUAACUAAAAACCUGGACUAAAGUCCUUGACCUUUUUCCAAAAUCCAUUUCAUAAUACUUAUUUGAAUUGAUCUUAAUUAUACUUUGACUCCAUUUUCAUGAUCACAAUCAGUAACUCCACUCAUUCACUUGUUUUGGCUUUGUCCAUUAAUGUUUUCAUACAUGAGCUAUAGGUUUGAUUUAUCUUAGUGGUUGAUGUUAAUCUC